UACAGAGGAGCCAAGCGUUGUCCGGAUUGACUGGGCGUAAAGCGCACGUAGGCGGCUUCUUAAGUCAGGGGUGAAAUCCUGGAGCUCAACUCCAGAACUGCCUUUGAUACCGAGAAGCUUGAGUCCGGGAGAGGUGAGUGGAACUGCGAGUGUAGAGGUGAAAUUCGUAGAUAUUCGCAAGAACACCAGUGGCGAAGGCGGCUCACUGGCCCGGUACUGACGCUGAGGUGCGAAAGCGUGGGGAGCAAACAGG
rnacentral:rRNA from 1 species